rnacentral:rRNA from 1 species
AGCCUGUUGGAAGUGACGGAUGAUGUAAGCUGUGAGAACUAAUGGAUUGUUCUUGCUGUGAAGUUGUCCCAGGAAAUAACUCCAACAUAUAGACCGUACCAAAACCGACACAGGUAGGCUGGUAGAGUAUACCAAGGCGCUUGAGAGAACUGUACUGAAGGAACUAGACAAAUUGCACGCGUAACUUCGGGAUAAGCGUGACCCAUAUAUACGCAGGUACUUAUGGGUGUCACAAAAGAGGGAGUGCCGACUGUUUAUUAAAAACACAGGUCUAUGCAAACACGUAAGUGGAAGUAUAUGGACUGACGCCUGCCCAGUGCUGGAAGAUUAAUCGGAGGGGUGCAAGCCCUGAUGCCAAGUCCCAGUGAACGGCGGCCGUAACAAUAACGGUCCUAAGGUAGCGAAAUUCCUUGUCGGGUAAGUUCCGACGCGCAUGAAUGGCGUAACGAGUUCUCCAUUGUCUCCAGUACAGACUCAGCGAAGUUGAAUUCUCCGUGAAGAUGCGGAGUUUCUGCGGUUAGACGGAAAGACCCUGUGCACCUUUACUAUAGUUUUGCAGUGGUAUUAGGAACAAAUUGUGUAGAAUAGGUGGGAGGCUUUGAAGCUUUGGCGCUAGCCAGAGUGGAGCCACCAGUGAAAUACCACCCUAUUUGUUUCUGAUAUCUAACCGCGACGAAUGAAUCUUCGUCCGGGACCCUGCAUGACGGGUAGUUUGACUGGGGCGGUCGCCUCCCAAAUUGUAACGGAGGCGCGCGAUGGUAGGCUUAGGACGGUCGGAAAUCGUCUGGUAAGUGUAAUGGCACAAGCCUGCCUGACUGUGAGAGUGACAAUUCAAACAUACGAAAGUAGGUCAUAGUGAUCCGGUGGUUCCUCGUGGUAGGGCCAUCGCUCAACGGAUAAAAGGUACGCCGGGGAUAACAGGCUGAUGAUGAUCCAAGAGUCCAUAUCGACGAUAUCGUUUGGCACCUCGAUGUCGGCUCAUCACAUCCUGGGGCUGGAGAAGGUCCCAAGGGUAUGGCUGUUCGCCAUUUAAAGUGGUACGUGAGCUGGGUUUAGAACGUCGUGAGACAGUUCGGUCCCUAUCUGCCGCAGAUGUAAGGAAAUUUGAGAGGAUCUGACUUUAGUACGAGAGGACCGAGUUGGACGUAUCUCUGGUGGACCAGUUGUCAUGCCAAUGGCACAGCUGGGUAGCUAUAUACGGACGGGAUAACUGCUGAAUGCAUCUAAGCAGGAAACCCACCUCAAAACUAGAUUUCCCCAUUAGGAUCGUGGUAGACUACCACGUUGAUAGGACGCAUGUGGAAUACCCGCAAGGGUUGGAGCUAAGCGUUACUAAUAAUCCGAUUGU